CUUAUUAUAGAUAAAUUUUGAUUUCAGAUAUAAAAAUUUAGAUUUUUCCAGUUACUAAUUGUGAAUAUAUUGUUAUAUAUAUAUAAUGUUUUAUAAUAACAUGUCAAAUACAAUAUAAAUAUUACAUUAAACAUCUAUCAUAAUUUGAAUUUGAUAAAAGUGAGGGAGUUUGAUUGAUAAGGAGACAGAGGCUUAAAAUCCGAGAAAAGAAGUAGAAAUAACAAAUUCAAAAGCCGUGGAAGCUAAGCUAACAAGAUUGAAGAAUGGAUGUUUCAUUCGUUAUCUUUAAUCAGAUCAAAGAGGCGUGGAACAUCAUAGGAUGCCUUCACUUUCUCCUGCACACAAAAUAAUCACUCUCUCCUACAAAGAAUUGUAGAAAGAAUAUACAUUUUUAAGUUGCAGUAUGAGUAAUUAGGCGAAACAAUAUGAGGCUUUAGUAAAAAAAUAAAACAAAUAUCUUAUAAAAAUCAGUUUGAAAGUUUAAUAAGAUAUAAUAAAUUAAACAGU
rnacentral:lncRNA from 1 species